rnacentral:rRNA from 1 species
GACGAACGCUGGCGGCGUGCCUAAUACAUGCAAGUCGAACGCACUCUCGUUUAGAUUGAAGGAGUUUGCUCCUGAUUGAUAAACAUUUGAGUGAGUGGCGGACGGUUGAGUAACACGUGGGUAACCUGCCCUAAAGUGGGGGAUAACAUUUGGAAACAGAUGCUAAUACCGCAUAAAACCUAACACCGCAUGGUGUAGGGUUGAAAGAUGGUUUCGGCUAUCACUUUAGGAUGGACCCGCGGUGCAUUAGUUAGUUGGUGAGGUAAAGGCUCACCAAGACCGUGAUGCAUAGCCGACCUGAGAGGGUAAUCGGCCACACUGGGACUGAGACACGGCCCAGACUCCUACGGGAGGCAGCAGUAGGGAAUCUUCCACAAUGGACGAAAGUCUGAUGGAGCAACGCCGCGUGAGUGAAGAAGGUUUUCGGAUCGUAAAACUCUGUUGUUGGAGAAGAAUGUAUCUGAUAGUAACUGAUCAGGUAGUGACGGUAUCCAACCAGAAAGCCACGGCUAACUACGUG